CCUUGAUUUGACAGGUGUCAAUUGAACAUAACAUGGAUGUCCAUUAUGAUCAGAGAUGUAUGCAGUAAACUGAGGCUGCAUGACUUGGUCGACCUAUUAGCGUAUUCCAUGCUGCUGGCCAUGUUGACCAUGAAAAAAGGUGUUGCAUGGUUUUCUAUUUCACUGAAUGCAUGUAUCUAAUGUAUCUCCAUGUAUCUGCACUUAUUUCUAUCUGUGCAUUUUGUUGUUGUUGUUGUAAUGUGGGUCUUUCCCUAGAAUUAUAGUGUUCCACUUUUCGGGCCACCAGAGCUCCACUAUUAAAACUGAAGUGUUAUUCUGUAGAUUAGCAGACUGAUGGAUAAAAGGUAAUAAAUGAGAGCCUUUUGAAAAUGAGGUUAUACACUUGAAAUAAUGUAAAGAUUUGACUUAGGUCUUAUCUUGAGGGGUAGGGUUGUUAAAUUAUUAUUAUUGAUAUCGUUAUAGUGAUAUGUAAGUGUUUCUCAACAGGCAAAUGCCCUGGUUAACAGCCUCAUUGGAGAAAGCAGAAUUUCAACAUUGGGUCUAGUGGUAGUUGAUGAGCUACAUAUGUUGGGUGAAACAGUAAGGGGUGCCACCUUAGAGAUGUGUUUGGCCAAGCUCAUGUUUGUUUCUUCCACCACCCAGAUAAUUGGAAUGAGUGCUACUUUAAGCAACAUUGCAGACUUGAAGGCAUUUUUAAAGGCUGAGGUGUAUUCAAAUGAUUUUAGACCAGUAAGUGUACAGUUAAAUUAGAUCCCAAUAGUGCAGGUGUGUUGGCCCAGCUAAUGGCUGGUGCACUGGAUUCCAGCUUGAGUUGUCUGGGUUUGAGCCCUGGCUGUGGACGUUGUGCUGUGUUCUUCAGCAAGACACUUUACUCUCACAGUGCCUCUCUCCACCCAGGUGUAUAUAUAUGGGUACCGGUGAAUUUAAUGCGUUAAACCAGGGGAGGGGGGCUAGCAGAAAUCCUCCUAGUCUCUUUAAUAGUGCUACAGAAGCCAGGGGUUUCAUUAAGGGCCAGGC